CCUACCACCUGUGUCACAUCCCAUUAGGUUCUGUGGAUGAGGCAUGGUGCUUGGCACAGACUGACACAAGUUUGGGCAAACUUGGCAGAGCAGCCUAACCCAAAGCGAAAAACAGAAAUGAACCAAGAUACAACCUCUGUGGAAAACCCUACUGAACAAAAGCAACUCUGUGGAGUGUCCUCUCAGCUGCAAAUUGAGACAGAAUUGUGGGGCAAGCUUGGCCACUGAUGCAGAUUCUGCAGCUUGCUACACAGAAAGCCAGAGACCGAGAGCCAAUGACUGAGACUAUGAGUAUUGCCAAGGAAGAAGGCUUUAAUCGGGUGCUGCAGCUGAAAAGAUGAGAGCUCAGCCUCAAAUCCAUCUCCCUGACCAACUAAAGCUAAGGAUUUAUAUAGCAGGGAAGAAGACAGGAACUAGGAAGGGGCAAGGAAGCGAUCCUGAUGAAUGAAGGGUCAGGCAUUUCAUUGUCUGGAUGUGGCGAUCUGCUCACACUGGUCACACCUGGGACUUCCAACAUGAAUGCUUUUGUCACGGAUGCUGCGCUGCUGCUGUUUCUGGUUCUUACUCUGCUUACACCAAGGAGACUGAUGUCCCUGCUAUAACCCCACUUCCGAUGCAGACAGCAAUUCCAAUGCAUUGCAGCUUUCAGGAUUUUCUCACUGUGUUUUUGCCUCUCCUUUUCUUUAAGACAUGAGCAUUUGUCUACGGGGAUGGCCUGAAGUGUAGUCUCCAUUACCCAGAGUCAUCUCACUCUCUGACCUUGACUCAUGAUCUGAGAACAAGUGCUCCCCUGCUUGUCUUCCUGAGGGGCAUCUGUCCCUCUUGCAAACAGAUUUCCUUUGGGCUCUGUCAUUUAGAAAUGCCCUUAUUUAUCUGAAUUAUAGUUCCAGUUCAGAACAUUUACAAAGGAACAGAUUGCUCCCAAUUUUAAAGCAGGUAAAUUCUAAAAGUUGGCAAGCCAGUCAUUUAGAAUUUGAGCCUCAUAUUCCAUAGGUAUGAAAUUAUACAUAAUGAAAAAGUUCCCAGGGCAGCCCACAAAAAGCCUACUUAUCCAAAAUAAAGCUAACCUGAGUUAAUUCAGCUCUAUGGCCUAGCCACAUUCA
rnacentral:lncRNA from 1 species